UCGCUUCGGCAGCACAUAUACUAAAAUUGGAACGAUACAGAGAAGAUUAGCGUGGCCCCUGCGCAUGGUCAUUUUUUAAUGAAUUAAAAUGUGUGCUU
rnacentral:snRNA from 1 species